rnacentral:rRNA from 1 species
AGUGAACGCUGGCGGUAGGCCUAACACAUGCAAGUCGAACGGCAGCACAGUAAGAGCUUGCUCUUACGGGUGGCGAGUGGCGGCCGGGUGAGGAAUACAUCGGAAUCUACUUUUUCGUGGGGGAUAACGUAGGGAAACUUACGCUAAUACCGCAUACGACCUACGGGUGAAAGCAGGGGAUCUUCGGACCUUGCGCGAUUGAAUGAGCCGAUGUCGGAUUAGCUAGUUGGCAGGGUAAAGGCCCACCAAGGCCACGAUCCGUAGCUGGUCUGAGAGGAUGAUCAGCCACACUGGAACUGAGACACGGUCCAGACUCCGACGGGAGGCAGCAGUGGGGAAUAUUGGACAAUGGACGCAAGCCUGAUCCAGCCAUACCGCGUGAGUGAAGAAGGCCUUCGGGUUGUAAAGCCCUUUUGUUGGGAAAGAAAAACAGCAGGUUAAUACCCCGCUGUUCUGACGGUACCCAAAGAAUAAGCACCGGCUAACUUCGUG